UACGAGCCAUUCAAGCGUUAUCCGGAAUUAUUGGGCGUAAAGCGUUUGUAGGCGGGCGAGUGUGUUUAAUGUUAAAUCUUAAAGCUCAACUUUGAAAUUGCGUUAAAAACUGCUUGUCUUGAGUAUGGUAGGGGUAAAGGGAAUUCCCAGUGUAGCGGUGAAAUGCGUAGAUAUUGGGAAGAACACUAAACAGCGAAGGCACUUUACUAGGCUAAUACUGACGCUGAGAAACGAAAGGUAAGGUAGCGAAACGGAUUAGAUACCCGUGUAGUCUUACCCGUAAACUAUGGACACUAAACGGUAAAUUUUUAAUUUACUGUUAAAGCUAACGCGUUAAGUGUCCCGCCUGGGGAGUAUGCUUGCAAAAGUGAAACUCAAAGGAAUUGACGGGGCCCCGCACAAGCGGUGGAGCAUGUGGUUUAAUUCGACGGUACACGAAGAACCUUACCAGGAUUUGACAUGCUAGAUAGUUGCUUGAAAGAGUAACGUGCCGUAAGGAAUCUAGACACAGGUGGUGCAUGGCUGUCGUCAGUUCGUGUUGUGAAAUGUUGGGUUAAGUCCCGCAACGAACGCAACCCUUGUCUUUAGUUAUUUUCUAAAGAGACUGCCUGUAAUAAACAGGAGGAAGGUAAGGAUGAGGUCAAGUCAUCAUGCCCCUUAUGUCCUGGGCUACACACGUGCUACAAUGGGAAAGACAAUGAGCUGCAAAUCUGUAAAUUUAAGCAAAUCUCUUAAACUUUCUCGUAGUUCGGAUUGUGGGCUGCAACUCGCCCACAUGAAGUUGGAAUCGCUAGUAAUCGCCAGUCAGCUAUAUGGCGGUGAAUCCGUUCCCGGGCCU
rnacentral:rRNA from 1 species